CAGCCGCCGCGGUAAUACGUAGGGGGCGAGCGUUGUCCGGAUUUACUGGGCGUAAAGGGUGAGUAGGCGGUUAUGUAAGUCAGAUGUAAAAGGCAUAGGCUCAACUUAUGUAAGCAUUUGAAACUGCAUGACUUGAGUGCAGGAGAGGUAAGCGGAAUUCCUAGUGUAGCGGUGAAAUGCGUAGAUAUUAGGAGGAACACCAGUGGCGAAGGCGGCUUACUGGACUGUAACUGACGCUGAGUCACGAAAGCGUGGGUAGCAAACAGGAUUAGAUACCCUGGUAGUCCACGCUGUAAACGAUGAGUGCUAGGUGUUGGGUAGCAAUACUCAGUGCCGCAGUAAACACAAUAAGCACUCCGCCUGGGGAGUACGGUCGCAAGACUGAAACUCAAAGGAAUUGACGGGGACCCGCACAAGCAGCGGAGCAUGUGGUUUAAUUCGAAGCAACGCGAAGAACCUUACCAAGGCUUGACAUCCCCUUGACAGGUGCAGAGAUGUACCCUCCUCUUCGGAGGCAAGGGUGACAGGUGGUGCAUGGCC
rnacentral:rRNA from 1 species